GACUAACUUUCUUCCUCUCUGAUUUGUAGGCAUGAGGAUCUCGGCUGAGUCGAUCCACCGCACCAUCAAGAAGAGGCCAAGUUCUGGGCCUAGCAGACCUUCUCAGGAUCCAUUGAAGAAACUAGGGGAAGGACCCCCCCUCUCGGGUCCCCAAGAGUACACAACCUCAGUCACUGCCUCGAGUUCCUCCGCUUGUGUGGGCUUUCGCCGUCACCUUCAGCACUAGCGAUCUCUACUGAGUAGGAUGAUGAUGUCAUCAUCAUCAAAGCCCCA
rnacentral:lncRNA from 1 species